GACGUAGGGCGCGAGCGUUGUCCGGAUUUAUUGGGCGUAAAGAGCUCGUAGGCGGCUUGUUGCGUCGACCGUGAAAACCCGGGGCUCAACUUCGGGCUUGCGGUCGAUACGGGCGGGCUAGAGUUCGGUAGGGGAGACUGGAAUUCCUGGUGUAGCGGUGAAAUGCGCAGAUAUCAGGAGGAACACCGGUGGCGAAGGCGGGGUCUCUGGGCCGAUACUGACGCUGAGGAGCGAAAGCGUGGGGAGCGAACAGG
rnacentral:rRNA from 1 species